rnacentral:rRNA from 1 species
CUGCCGUGUACAGGGGGAUAACAGCCGGAAACGGCUGCUAAUACCGCAUAUGCGCACAGUGCCGCAUGGCACAGGGCGGAAAGCCUAGAUCUUAUCUAGUACGAUACACGAUGGGUCCGCGUCUGAUUAGGUAGUUGGCGGGGUAACGGCCCACCAAGCCCACGAUCAGUAGCCGGCCUGAGAGGGCGGACGGCCACACUGGGACUGAGACACGGCCCAGACUCCUGCGGGAGGCAGCAGUGGGGAAUAUUGCACAAUGGGGGGAACCCUGAUGCAGCGACGCCGCGUGAAGGAAGAAGUAUCUCGGUAUGUAAACUUCUAUCAGCAGGGAAGAAAGAGGACGGUACCUGACUAAGAAGCCCCGGCUAACUACGUGCCAGCAGCCGCGGUAAUACGUAGGGGGCGAGCGUUAUCCGGAUUUACUGGGUGUAAGGGGAGCGUAGACGGCCAUGCAAGCUCGGUGUGAAAGGUGCGGGCACAACCCGCAGACUGCACUGAGAACUGUAUGGCUGGAGUGCCGGAGGGGCAGGCGGAAUUCCUGGUGUAGCGGUGAAAUGCGUAGAUAUCAGGAGGAACACCGGUGGCGAAGGCGGCCUGCUGGACGGCGACUGACGUUGAGGCUCGAAAGCGUGGGGAGCGAACAGGAUUAGAUACCCUGGUAGUCCACGCCGUAAACGAUGU